GUAGCAAUACUUAGUGGCAGACGGGUGAGUAACAUGUAGGUAUCUGCCCUUUGGCCUGGAAUAACACGAGGAAACUUGUGCUAAUACCGGAUAAGUCUUUACGGAGAAAGCUUUAUGCACCAUUGGAUGAGCCUGCACUUGAUUAGUUUGUUGGUAGGGUAAUGGCCUACCAAGACUGUGAUCAAUAGCUGAUUUGAGAGGAUGAUCAGCCACAUUGGGACUGAGACACGGCCCAAACUCCUACGGGAGGCAGCAGUGGGGAAUCUUGCACAAUGGAGGAAACUCUGAUGCAGCGAUGCCGCGUGAGUGAAGAAGGCCCUUGGGUUGUAAAGCUCUUUCGUCGGGGAAGAAAAUGACUGUACCCGAAUAAGAAGGUCCGGCUAACUUCGUGCCAGCAGCCGCGGUAAUACGAAGGGACCUAGCGUAGUUCGGAAUUACUGGGCUUAAAGAGUUCGUAGGUGGUUGAAAAAGUUAGUGGUGAAAUCCCAGAGCUUAACUCUGGAACUGCCAUUAAAACUUUUCAGCUAGAGUAUGAUAGAGGAAAGCAGAAUUUCUAGUGUAGAGGUGAAAUUCGUAGAUAUUAGAAAGAAUACCAAUUGCGAAGGCAGCUUUCUGGAUCAUUACUGACACUGAGGAACGAAAGCGUGGGUAGCGAAGAGGAUUAGAUACCCUCGUAGUCCAUGCCGUAAACGAUGUGUGUUAGACGUUGGAAAUUUAUUUUCAGUGUCGCAGGGAAACCGAUAAACACACCGCCUGGGGAGUACGACCGCAAGGUUAAAACUCAAAUGAAUUGACGGGGACCCGCACAAGUAGUGGAGC
rnacentral:rRNA from 1 species